rnacentral:rRNA from 1 species
UACGUAGGCAGCGAGCGUUGUUCGGAAUUACUGGGCGUAAAGAGUGUGUAGGCGGUGCUCUAAGUUCGGUGUGAAAUCUCCUGGCUCAACCCGGGAGGGUCGUGGCAAACCGGCGGGCUUGAGGCCGGUAGAGGUGGGUGGAACUCCUGGUGGAGUGGUGAAAUGCGUAGAGAUCAGGAAGAACACCCGUGGCGAAGGCGGCCCACUGGGCCGGUACUGACGCUGAGGCGCGAAGGCGUGGGGAGCGAACGGG